AUUGAACGCUGGCGGCAGGCCUAACACAUGCAAGUCGAGCGGAUGAAGGGAGCUUGCUCCUGGAUUCAGCGGCGGACGGGUGAGUAAUGCCUAGGAAUCUGCCUGGUAGUGGGGGAUAACGUCCGGAAACGGGCGCUAAUACCGCAUACGUCCUGAGGGAGAAAGUGGGGGAUCUUCGGACCUCACGCUCUCAGAUGAGCCUAGGUCGGAUUAGCUAGUUGGUGGGGUAAAGGCCUACCAAGGCGACGAUCCGUAACUGGUCUGAGAGGAUGAUCAGUCACACUGGAACUGGGACACGGUCCAGACUCCUACGGGAGGCAGCAGUGGGGAAUAUUGGACAAUGGGCGAAAGCCUGAUCCAGCCAUGCCGCGUGUGUGAAGAAGGUCUUCGGAUUGUAAAGCACUUUAAGUUGGGAGGAAGGGCAGUAAGUUAAUACCUUGCUGUUUUGACGUUACCAACAGAAUAAGCACCGGCUAACUUCGUG
rnacentral:rRNA from 1 species